rnacentral:rRNA from 1 species
CCUACGGGUGGCAGCAGUGAGGAAUAUUGGUCAAUGGACGGAAGUCUGAACCAGCCAUGCCGCGUGCAGGAAGACGGCUCUAUGAGUUGUAAACUGCUUUUGUACAAGGGUAAACCUGAAUACGUGUAUUCAGCUGACAGUACUGUACGAAGAAGGAUCGGCUAACUCCGUGCCAGCAGCCGCGGUAAUACGGAGGUGCCAAGCGUUAUCCGGAUUUAUUGGGUUUAAAGGGUGCGUAGGCGGAUUGAUAAGUUAGAGGUGAAAUGUCCGGGCUUAACUCGGGAACUGCCUCUAAUACUGUUGAUCUAGAGUGCAGGUGCGGUAAGCGGAAUGCAUGGUGUAGCGGUGAAAUGCUUAGAGAUCAUGAAGAACACCGAUUGCGAAGGCAGCUUAC